GACGAACGCUGGCGGCGUGCUUAACACAUGCAAGUCGAACGGAAAGGCCCUGCUUUUGUGGGGUGCUCGAGUGGCGAACGGGUGAGUAACACGUGAGUGACCUGCCCUUGACUUUGGGAUAACUUCAGGAAACUGGGGCUAAUACCGGAUAGGAGCUCCUGCUGCAUGGUGGGGGUUGGAAAGUUUCGGCGGUUGGGGAUGGACUCGCGGCUUAUCAGCUUGUUGGUGGGGUAGUGGCUUACCAAGGCUUUGACGGGUAGCCGGCCUGAGAGGGUGACCGGCCACAUUGGGACUGAGAUACGGCCCAGACUCCUACGGGAGGCAGCAGUGGGGAAUAUUGCACAAUGGGCGGAAGCCUGAUGCAGCAACGCCGCGUGCGGGAUGACGGCCUUCGGGUUGUAAGCCGCUUUCGCCUGUGACGAAGCGUGAGUGACGGUAAUGGGUAAAGAAGCACCAGCUAACUACGUG
rnacentral:rRNA from 1 species